rnacentral:rRNA from 1 species
AACGAACGCUGGCGGCAUGCCUAACACAUGCAAGUCGAACGAAGGCUUCGGCCUUAGUGGCGCACGGGUGCGUAACGCGUGGGAAUCUGCCCAAAGGUACGGAAUAACUCCUCGAAAGGGGUGCUAAUACCGUAUGAUGUCGCAAGACCAAAGAUUUAUCGCCUUUGGAGGAGCCCGCGUAGGAUUAGGUAGUUGGUGAGGUAAAGGCUCACCAAGCCGACGAUCCUUAGCUGGUCUGAGAGGAUGAUCAGCCACACUGGGGACUGAGACACGGCCCAGACUCCUACGGGAGGCAGCAGUGGGGAAUAUUGGACAAUGGGCGAAAGCCUGAUCCAGCAAUGCCGCGUGAGUGAUGAAGGCCUUAGGGUUGUGAAGCUCUUUUACCCGGGAAGGAUAAUGACUGUACCGGGAGGAAUAAGACCCCGGCCUAACUCCGUGCCAGCAGCCGCGGUAAU